rnacentral:rRNA from 1 species
UACGGAGGGUGCAAGCAUUGAUCGGAAUUACUGGGCGUAAAGGGCGCGUAGGCGGCUAUAAAAGUCGGAUGUGAAAUUCCGGGGCUCAACCCCGGAGCUGCAUUUGAAACUCUAUGGCUAGAGUUCAGUUAGGGUAAACGGAAUUCCACGUGUAGCGGUGAAAUGCGUAGAUAUGUGGAAGAACACCAGUGGUGAAGACGGUUUACUGGGCUGAAACUGACGCUGAGGCGCGAAAGCAUGGGGAGCAAACAGG